UAAAAGACCAUCCCAGUUCGGAUUGCAAGCUGCAACCCGCCUGUAUGAAGUUGGAAUCGCUAGUAAUCGCGGAUCAGCAUGCCGCGGUGAAUACGUUCCCGGGCCUUGUACACACCGCCCGUCACACCAUGAGAGUCGGGAACACCCGAAGUCCGUAGCCUAACCGCAAGGAGGGCGCGGCCGAAGGUGGGUUCGAUAAUUGGGGUGAAGUCGUAACAAGGUAGC
rnacentral:rRNA from 1 species